GAUGAAGAACGUAGCGAAAUGCGAUACGUAAUGUGAAUUGCAGAAUUCAGUGAAUCAUCGAGUCUUUGAACGCACAUUGCCCCCCUGGUAUUCCGGGGGGCAUGCCUGUCCGAGCGUCAUUGCUGCCCUCAAGCACGGCUUGUGUGUUGGGCCUCCGUCCUCCUCCCGGGGGACGGGCCCGAAAGGCAGCGGCGGCACCGCGUCCGGUCCUCGAGCGUAUGGGGCUUCGUCACCCGCUCUUGUAGGCCCGGCCGGCGCUUGCCGACACAUCAAUCUUUUUUCCAGGUUGACCUCGGAUCAGGUAGGGAUACCCGCUGAACUUAAGCAUAUCAAUAAGCGGAGGA
rnacentral:misc_RNA from 1 species